UAUUUUUAUAGUGUAUAAAACACAUAACAUUUUCAGUGUUAAAUAGCCAAUGCUAAAAAUAACC
rnacentral:tRNA from 1 species